GGGGUGAACAGUCUCGUCAGUUGAGGCCAGAUUUUGGUCUCAUUCCUGCCUUUUGUUCCUUUAUUCUGCACCCCUAAAUGUUAACACUUGAGACAGUCCUGACUUGCCUACCAGGAACUUGCUCUGUAAACUAGGUUGGCGUCCAAUUCUGGAUCUCCUGCCUCAGCUUUCCGAAUGCAGGGAUUACAGACAUCCUACCACGUCCUGGUACAACUAGAAUCUUAAUAACUUUCUGCUAUUUCCGGGAAGAAAUACACAUUUCAGAAUGAGAUGCAUUAUUUUGGGGUGGUGCAUUAUUUUGUUUUUCACUUUUUCCAAAGUCAUACAGUAAAUGCUAGCAGUGUCCCUGUGGAAUUUAUGUUUGUUGUCUGUCUGCCUAAUCUGGAGCAAUAACUCAAAUUACUGGGGGCACCGGUUCAAAACGUUAGCAAUAUCCUACCGCAAGGUGGCAAAACAGCUUUAAAACAGCUCUUUGGGGCUCAGCUACUCAGAGAACAGCGCCUAGGGCCAGACCUCAACAGUUUCCUCUGCCCACAGCUAGGGGCACGCCCCGCCCACGCCCCGCCCACUUCCCAGGCCUCGCAAGGAGCGGAGAAGCGACGCACGCCGCUGGGAGCUUGGGAGAGCCAGCAGUGACUGGAGGGGUAGAGCCCAGCUGUGGCUGCCCGGCAUGGACAACUACACAGUCCUGAGAGUGAUUGGCCAGGGCUCCUUCGGCAGGGCUCUUUUGGUUCUGCAGGAAAGCAGCAAUCAGACAUUUGCCAUGAAGGAAAUCAGACUGCUCAAGUCUGAUACACAGACUUCUAGGAAAGAGGCUGUUCUGCUCGCCAAAAUGAAGCACCCCAAUAUUGUUGCCUUUAAGGAGUCAUUUGAAGCUGAAGGGUACCUGUACAUUGUGAUGGAGUAUUGUGACGGAGGGGAUCUGAUGCAGAGGAUUAAACAGCAAAAAGGGAAGUUAUUCCCUGAAGACACGAUACUUAAUUGGUUUAUACAAAUUUGUCUUGGAGUAAAUCACAUUCAUAAGAGACGUGUUUUACACAGAGAUAUCAAGUCGAAAAAUGUCUUCCUCACCCACAAUGGAAAAGUGAAAUUGGGAGAUUUUGGCUCUGCCCGUCUUCUCUCCAGUCCCAUGGCGUUUGCAUGCACGUACGUGGGAACACCUUAUUAUGUGCCUCCAGAAAUCUGGGAGAACCUGCCUUACAACAAUAAAAGUGACAUCUGGUCCUUGGGAUGCAUUCUGUAUGAACUCUGCGCUCUGAAGCAUCCAUUCCAGGCAAAUAGUUGGAAAAACCUGAUCCUGAAAAUAUGCCAGGGGCCCAUCCACCCGCUGCCGGCUCUGUACUCCUGCAAGCUUCAGGGCCUGGUCAAGCAGAUGCUGAAAAGGAACCCUUCCCACCGCCCCUCCGCCACAACCCUGCUCUGCAGGGGUAGCUUGGCUCCACUGGUCCCGAAGUGCUUGCCCCCUCAGAUCAUCAGAGAAUAUGGAGAACAGAUAUUAGAUGAAAUCAAAAUAUCCACGCCUAAGAAUAUGAAAAAACAGGACUCCAACAGAGUCAGGAGAGCUCUGGGAGAAGCAAACUCUGCCUCUAUGCAAGAGGAAGAACGUGGUAGAAAGUGUAGCCAUACUGAAUUGGAAAGCACUGGUACAACCCCAGCUGGGAAUGCAUUGGAAAGAGCAGCCAGAGGAAAUCCAGACUGUACAGGACUCGGGCUACAAGAAAUGCUUCUGCCUUGUUAGAGCGCAUGUGCACAUGUGGAUGAAUAAACAGGGUGGCGCUGUUGACCUUUGAUCCUUUUCUGCAUCUGAGAAUCAGGUAACCCACAGGAGCACGGGAGGCAUACCAGUCCGGCAAGUCCUCACAGGCCGUGGUGGGAGAGACACGGUCCCAGUUCCAAUGUCGAAGCUUUGGAGAAAGCAUCUAUCCUUACCUCCAGUUUCACGGCAGAGGAUGACAGAGGUGGGUCUGUGAUAAAGUAUGAAGAAAAUGCCCGAAGGCAGUGGGUCAGAGAGCCCCCUGAGGCCUUGCUGUCAAUGCUGAAGGACGCUGAUCUCAGUCAGGCAUUUCAGACAUACACAAUAUAUAGACCAGGUGCAGAAGGAUUCCUGAAAGGUCCCCUUUCUGAAGACACGGCAUCGGACAGCGUCGACGGUGAUCUCGAUUCUGUCAUGUUAGACCCAGAGAGAUUUGAACCUCGGCUGGAUGAAGAAGACACGGACUUUGAGGAAGAUAACGAAAACCCUGAUUGGGUGUCAGAACUAAAGAAGCACGUAGGAUACGGGGAUGGACCUGGUGGACAACUCCUCGGAGAACGUGCCUGAGUCAUGGCAAGACACUGGCGAGAGACACUGGCGAGAGACACUGAUGGCUGGGAAUGGAAGUGAGGACUGAGAAAAUGUAUAUCGCAAGUUUACAAAGCAAUCCAGAACCCUUGCGAGAUUUCAACACAACGGAAGUCUAGCAGAUGCUUCAUGCCUUGUGUUCCGACAGAACGGAGAUGCCAUGCUCGUCUGCCGGCCACCAUGUGUGUGACACUAGGAAAUGACUUAACUCCUUUGAUCCCAAAUCUUCUCAACUAUACAAUGAGAGUAACAACGCCUACCUCAUAGGAACACUCACGGCAACAGUUACAGCUGUCCAGUGCCUGUUAUCCCCAAUUACCAUGUAACACUCUCACAUUUCCUAAAGGUUUAAGGAUCUAAAUACAUUAAGCUAUGGCAUAA